AGUUGUCAACUUGUCAUCUUGUGUUUACAUUUUUGAAACCGCGAUUUGUGAAAUUGUGAUUAAUUCCUGAUUUCAUUUUGUAAACUGUUCGUAUAAGUGAAUGCUACGAAAAGCUAGAUAAAUAUGCUUUGAUAGUGCGCAUGAAGCUUAUUUUGUAAUAAAUAAGACAAUUGAUUGCCAGUUAGGAGUUAAAUAGAUUCAAGACUGAUGCAGAGAUACUGGAAGGGAAACGUCCAGACUAGAAAGCAAAAGUAAAAUGAUGAUGGAGAGUGUUCUCUCUCAGGGGGAGAAGAGUUAUUGCUUACAGCCUCUUCGUCGCCAAUUGCUUCCUCCAGGAGACACCUAACGACCGAGCCUCCAGACGUACUCAUGGUGUUCUCCUCAGACUCUUUCAGUUCCUGAUCACUCUCACUGAUACCAGUGUGAGACUUGUAGGACCUGAAAUCAAUUGGGAUGUGUUAUCAAAGAAGGAGCCCGUGAAAGAUCCCCACAGACUUCCAACCAUAGCAGCACUAGAUGCACUUGACUUAUCCCCAUCUGUGAUAAGCGCUGACUUGGCUAGAGAAGUGAAGCCUGCAGUGUCGAACCAGCUCAUGGUGUUGCUCCCUUAAAAUAUGAAAAGGAUAUGAUUAUCUCCACAUCAAAGCGUACGCGAGUACAAGCCAUUUAAUUCAGUUUCAAAAGGCAAUCUCUUUUUAUAAUUAGCACCUCAACUAAAGAUUCUUUGGGGGUCUGGCUAUCUGACCCUAUUUUUUAGCCUGCACUUAAAAUAUUUUCUGGAUGUCUUACAGUUAAUCGUACAUAGUUGCAGUUCCUACCCAGCACUUAGCAUUCAAUUUAAAAGAUUUAUCCUAAAGUUGAUUAAAGUCGACCCUAGGCUAUUCAGGAUUCUGGAUUUGUGGCUUCACCUAUUCAUGGAUUUUUCUGUGGAACGUAUAUAAUACACAAUAUUGCAUAAAAUUUGCCUAUUCAAAGUGUUAUUUUUCAUAUGGUAAUCUCACUCUUUACUGUAUUUUCAUAUAAUUUUCAUGACUAAAUGCAUUUUUUGUGAUAAAACUAUUAAUAUACUCAGGGUAUAAGCACUUUUUAAAAGAGGGUUUUUUUUGAGGGGCGUCAAGUAUUCACAGGGGUUGUGGUACGCAUUCCCUGUGAAUAACGGAGGUAAACUGAAGCAUAUCUAAAAUGUUAGCCCAGCAAAAUGUAUUUAUAAUAUUGUAGCCAAUGAGUAGUGGUGUCCAUUAAGUUAAGGUAGUACUACAAGAUUACAAAUAUUGUAAUGUUUCUUAUCAUGUAAUUUCAAAACUCUUAUUAUGUUACUUAUUUUAAUGCCAAAAAAAGAUACUGAUUUCUGUCGCUAGAUGAAAAUGCUCUGGUGUAGUUCUGUAACAAAUUUAUAUCCCUUUGGGUAUGACGUUUUGUUAUAAUUUACAUCAAGAUGUGUUCUUUGAACGAUUUAUCGUUAUCAAAGGACAAUGUAUGUGUAAGAUUUUAGUGUAGGCUACAUCUAUAUGUUGUCUUUAUUAAGGCUUGCCUCCAUAGGUUGUAAUAUGGCUUAUUUAUAGCAGCUGAACUGUGCACUACUGUAGACAUAACUGAUCAAUUGUAGCACAUAGCAGCACUAAUAUUUGCACAGACAUAACCUUACACUAAAAAUCUUAACAUUUUAUCAUUAACCAAUAAUAUAUGUUCAAAGUUCACUGAAUGCAGUAUGUAUCUCCUAAAAUAUACUCUGUUUUUUUCCAUCUGUCCAUCAGCCUGUGGUGUUUGCGCAUAGUAACACUGCGCCCUGGACUUUGAAUAAUAUCCUAUUUCGAAUAUUAACGAUGUAAUUUGCAUACAGUAAAUUAUUAAAACACUUUUCAGUUGCAAAUGUACACCCAGAUAUCUUUAUUUACCUAAAACUUACACAUAGCGUAACUAUUUAAAGCCCGGGAGUCAGUGUUAACCAUGCGAAAACACCACAGGCGGAUGGACAGAUGGAAAAAACAGAGUAUAGUGAAUUUAUCCAUACCACAAUUCAAUUACCACAGUUCAGCUGCUAUAAAUUAGCAGUAAUAGUCUGCUAAGACAGGAAAAAAUAAAGUGA